GAUAAACGCUGGCGGCGUGCAUAACACAUGCAAGUCGAACGAAGUGGCGAACGGGUGAGUAACACGUGAGUAACCUGCCUUACACAAGGGGAUAGCCUUUGGAAACGAAGAAUAAUACCCUAUAGUGUAAGAUGGACUUGCGUCUGAUUAGCUAGUUGGUGAGAUAAAAGCCCACCAAGGCGACGAUCAGUAGCCGGCUUGAGAGAGUGGACGGCCACAUUGGGACUGAGACACGGCCCAAACUCCUACGGGAGGCAGCAGUGGGGAAUUUUGCACAAUGGGGGAAACCCUGAUGAAGCGACGCCGCGUGAGUGAUGACGGCCUUCGGGUUGUAAAGCUCUGUUAAUCGGGACACGGUACCGGAAUAGAAAGCCACGGCUAACUACGUGCCAGCAGCCGCGGUAAUUC
rnacentral:rRNA from 1 species